rnacentral:rRNA from 1 species
UACGGGGGGGGCAAGCGUUGUUCGGAAUUACUGGGCGUAAAGGGCUCGUAGGCGGCCAACUAAGUCGGAGGUGAAAUCCCUCGGCUUAACCGGGGAACUGCGUCUGAUACUGGAUGGCUUGAGUUUGGGAGAGGGAUGCGGAAUUCCAGGUGUAGCGGUGAAAUGCGUAGAUAUCUGGAGGAACACCGGUGGCGAAGGCGGCAUCCUGGACCAACACUGACGCUGAGUGAGCGAAAGCCAGGGGAGCAAACGGG